UACGUAGGGUGCAAGCGUUGUCCGGAAUUAUUGGGCGUAAAGAGCUCGUAGGCGGUCUGUCGCGUCUGCUGUGAAAACCUGGGGCUUAACCCCGGGCCUGCAGUGGGUACGGGCAGACUAGAGUGCGGUAGGGGAGAUUGGAAUUUACGGUGUAGCAGUGAAAUGCGUAGAUAUCGUAAGGAAGACCAGUGGCGAAGGCGGAUCUCUGGACAGUUACUGACACUGAGGCACGAAGGCCAGGGGAGCAAACGGG
rnacentral:rRNA from 1 species